rnacentral:rRNA from 1 species
CAAUAGCGUAUAUUAAAGUUGUUGCGGUUAAAAAGCUCGUAGUUGGAUUUCUGCCGAGGACGACCGGUCCGCCCUCCGGGUGAGUAUCUGGUUUGGCCUGGGCAUCUUCUUGGAGAACGUAGCUGCACUUGACUGUGUGGUGCGGUGUCCAGGACUUUUACUUUGUGGAAAUUAGAGUGUUUCAAGCAGGCACACGCCUUGAAUACAUUAGCAUGGAAUAAUAAGAUAGGACCUCGGUUCUAUUUUGUUGGUUUCUAGAGCUGAGGUAAUGAUUAAUAGGGAUAGUUGGGGGCAUUCGUAUUUAACUGUCAGAGGUGAAAUUCUUGGAUUUAUUAAAGACGGACUACUGCGAAAGCAUUUGCCAAGGAUGUUUUCAUUGA